rnacentral:rRNA from 1 species
AGCGAACGUUAGCGGCGGGCCUAACACAUGCAAGUCGAACGCGAAAGGUCUUCGGACUGAGUAGAGUGGCGUACGGGUGAGUAACACGUAGGUAAUCUACCCUUUGGCGGGGGAUAACGUUCCGAAAGGAGCGCUAAUACCGCAUAAGACCACGGAGUCUCCGGACGCUGUGGGAAAAGGUGGCCUCUUCUUGAAAGCUACCACCGAAGGAUGAGCCUGCGUCCCAUCAGCUAGUUGGUAAGGUAAUGGCUUACCAAGGCGAAGACGGGUAGCUGGUUUGAGAGAAUGAUCAGCCACACUGGCACUGGAACACGGGCCAGACUCCUACGGGAGGCAGCAGUGAGGAAUAUUGGGCAAUGGGCGAAAGCCUGACCCAGCCACGCCGCGUGAGUGAUGAAGGCCCUCGGGUCGUAAAGCUCUGUGGAGAGGGACGAAAACCCUGGUUUCAAAUAGGCUCCAGGCUUGACGGUACCUCUUUAGCAAGCACCGGCUAACUCUGUGCCAGCAGCCGCGG